rnacentral:rRNA from 1 species
UAACCAUGAUUGCCCUAGUAACGGCGAGUGAAGAGGCAAAAGCUCAAGUUUGGAAGCUCAAUGGUUUAACCAUUGCGCAUUGUAAACUGAAAACAGGAUCAAUCAGGUACACCGGGUGAUAAGUUCCUUGGAAUAGGACAUCAUGGAGGGUGAGAAUCCCGUCUUUGACCCGAGUCUAGUAUCUUUUGUAUUGGCCUGUUCAAGAGUCAGGUUGUUUGGGAAUGCAGCCUAAAGCUGGAGGUAAAUCCCUCCUGAAGCUAAAUAAUGGCGAGAGACCGAUAGCGAACAAGUACCGUGAGGGAAAGAUGAAAAGAACUCUGAAGAGAGAGUUAAACAGUACGUGAAAUUGCUUAAAGGGAAGCAUAUAAAGCUAG